ensembl:rRNA 5S_rRNA 5S ribosomal RNA
GUCUAUGGCCACACCACCCUGAAUGCGCCUGAUCUCAUCUGAUCUGGGGAGCUAAGCAGGGUCGGGCCUGGUUAGUACUUGGAUAGGAGGAGUCUAAUAAUAAGAAAGAUGCCACUGGAUC